rnacentral:rRNA from 1 species
UCCCUGCCAUUGCGCUGCUAUAAUGCAGUCGAGCGAUGGAUUAAGAGCUUGCUCUUUUGAAUGUCGCGGCGGACGGGGGAGUAACACGUGGGGAACCUGCCCUUAUGACUGGGAUUACUCCGGGAAACCGGGGCUAAUACCGGAUAACAUUUUGAACAGCAUGGAUCGAAAUUGAAAGGCGGCUUCCGCUGUCAUUUAUGGAUGGACCCUCGUCUCAUUAGCUAGUUGGUGAGGUACCGGCUCACCAAGGCCACGAUGCUUAGCCAACCUGAGAGGGUGAUCGGCCACUCUGGGACUGAGACAAGGCCCAGACUCCUACGGGAGGCAGCAUUAGGGAAUCUUCCCCAAUGGACGAAACUCUGACGGAGCAACGCCGCGUGACUGAUGAAGGCUUUCGGGUCUAAAACUCUGUAGUAAGGGAAUAACGAUUGCUACUUGAAUAAUCUGGCUCCUUGACGGAACCUACCCAGAAAGCCUCGGCUAACUACGCGCCGCAACAGCGGUAAUACAAACGUGGCACGCGUUAUCCGGAAUUAUUGGGCGUCAGCCCGCGCAGUGGCUUCUUAAGUCUGAUGCGAAAUCCCCCGGCUCAUCCGUGGAGGGUCAUAGGAGCACUGAGUAGAUUUGAGUGCAGAAAAAGUUACUGGUACUUCCGGGGAAUCCCGUGAAAAGCGUAAAGAUUAUCGCAGACCACACGUGGCCCCCGGGGA